rnacentral:rRNA from 1 species
AUUGAACGCUGUCGGCAGGCCUAACACCUGCAAGUCGAACGUGUGGCGGACGGGUGAGUAAUGUAUGGGAAACUGCCCGAUGGAGGGGGUUAACUACUGGAAACGGUAGCUAAUACCGCAUACCAUCGGAUGUACCCAUAUGGGAUUAGCUAGUAGGGUGGGUAAAGGCUCACCUAGGCGACGAUGCCUAGCUGGUCUGAGAGUAUGAUCGGCCAGACUGGGACUGAGACACGGUCCAGACUCCUACGGGAGGCAGCAGUGGGGAAUAUUGCGCAAUGGGCGCAAGCCUGAUGCAGCAAUGCCGCGUGAAUGAAGAAGGCCUUCGGGUUGUAAAGUCCUGGCGGCAGAGAGGCGUUAGCCACAGAGGAAGCACCGGCUAACUCCGUGCCAGCCGCCGCGGUAAUUC